rfam:Picea glauca, whole genome shotgun sequence.
GUAAUGGUGUCUUUAGACACCAUCCUUUGUCUUCAAAAAAAUUUGU